UCUAUUCUUAAUAGGUGAUCCCAUUUUCCUGCACAUGCAAGGUAUCCAACUCAUCCUGCAUCACUGAGCAAUCAUAACCUGCCAUCUAAGCAAUUCUUCCACGUCAUCAUGUAGAUGACCCAUGUAGCCAUGUACUAUUAAGCAAUCUUAGCCUGCCACCUAAGCAAAUCUGUCAUGUCAUCAUGUAUUUAUCAGAAAUUAAUUUGGCUCCAACUUUUAAUGUCCGUAUACUCUCCCUGAGCCACGUUACUUUAAUUGCAUGACUUCUCUUCUUUUUGUGUGGGAGGGAUCCAAAUCCGUUUAUUUGCCACUAAAUAUUUUUCCUUCAUUAUUGUCUUUCUCCAUUGUUUCCGUUUCUUCGUUUUAAUCAAUUCGUCACACCACCACAUUGGUAACCGACACAUGCAUUGAUCCUCUUCAAUUUCUAAUCAAUACUCACACCACCAUGGCAAGGCAACUGUUCCGAUUGAACUUCUAUUCCUUAUUCCAUCCUCCGAGCAAAGCUAGCGAUUGAUAAAUCUAACAUCUGCUUGACCCCUCACUUAGCAUAUGCAUGUGUUCCAUCUUGCUCUCCAGCAAGCUAGCGAUUGAGUCAUCUUACCAUGCGACUCAAGCUAAUGCUUUUCCACUCUGCUCCCUCUGCUGCUGUAAACGGAGGAGUUUGCGUCUUCGUCCAUAGACAUGGACUGGAUUAUUUUUCUGAAAUGAAGUUUGGCUGCCACUGUACGCCUCAAGUUUUACUAUGUUCAUGUCUAGCUACUACAGUACGUAGUUUCCUUCAGGUUAGUUUUCUUUCCUAAUGUUUGCCAUUAUCUUUUGAGUAAUAACCAGUUUUAUUCUCCUGGGCCUUGCAGUCACAACAAACAUGUUAAUCAAAUAGGGCAUACGUACUCAUCACUUUUCCCCAUGACACACCACUGGUCUAUUCUUGACAAAUAUAUAAAUCGGGUAGCUGAUUAUUAUUUUUGAAAUUGAUUGAUGACUAUUCUUCCUUUUCAUUUCUUGUAGGUUGCGUCUUUCAUCCAUGUGAUAUAUGCAAACAAUUUUUUUUUGCAUGUACAAAUUUAUCUCCCUCAAAUCUUUCCCCACUUAUGGUAGGCUGCAUCACUUCAGUAGUCUAAGACGUAAGCUGCUGCUUCUCAUUCGAUUACAUUUUUUCACAGCUGGACAAAAAAAGUCACAAUGUUGUAAGUAAUACCCACCACUUACCAUGGAAUUUAUAUUUUUCAAUAUAUUGUUAUUUUUUCUUAUUGUGGUUGCCAUGGUUUACAAACUUUCUUACUCAAGCUUCGUUGACAGGUUAUAUAUUACAUGGUGUUUUAUGUAUUCUGUAGGCUUAGUUUUCUAUAGGGCUCAACUCUGCGAGAAAUCUAUGUUGCAAUGUUGUGCAGGAAAGACAACGUGAGACACAUUUUGCUUCCACGGCCUGCACCACGUAUUUGCUGGAUAAAAUUAUUUGGGUACAACUCCAUCAAUUCACUAUGGCGGCAUCCUCUGUGUUAUUCACUUUAUGGAUACAUGUGUGCUGCACAUCCUC